AUGGAAGGAACGCCGUCGGGAUCGGGCACCAAAACAACUGAUCUGGAGGCGAUGAUGGAGGAGCUGGGUCCGAAGGAAGAGGAUCUCCAAGAUGUAGUAGUGGAAGAUGAGGAAAUCCCGGAAGAGGCCACCAGAUGGAUGGCGAUCGCCAGAGUCCACACGGAGAGAACCUACAGUCAGUAUUGGUUUUUCAAGAACAUGCGCUCUGCAUGGGAUCUGGCGAAGGACGUGAAAAUCAGACCAUUGGAAGAUAACCUCUACACCUUGCAAUUCGGUUGCCUGGGCGACUGGGAA
rnacentral:rRNA from 1 species